ACGACUCUCGGCAACGGAUAUCUUGGCUCUCGCAUCGAUGAAGAACGUAGCGAAAUGCGAUACCUGGUGUGAAUUGCAGAAUCCCGCGAACCAUCGAGUCUUUGAACGCAAGUUGCGCCCGAGGCCACUCGGCCGAGGGCACGCCUGCCUGGGCGUCACGC
rnacentral:rRNA from 5 species